rnacentral:rRNA from 1 species
UACGUAGGGUGCGAGCGUUGUCCGGAAUUAUUGGGCGUAAAGAGCUCGUAGGCGGUGUGUCACGUCGGCCGUGAAAACCUGCAGCUUAACUGUGGGCGUGCGGUCGAUACGGGCAUCACUGGAGUUCGGCAGGGGAGACUGGAAUUCCUGGUGUAGCGGUGAAAUGCGCAGAUAUCAGGAGGAACACCGGUGGCGAAGGCGGGUCUCUGGGCCGAUACUGACGCUGAGACACGAAAGCGUGGGGAGCAAACAGG